UACGAAGGUCCCAAGCGUUAUCCGGAUUUAUUGGGUUUAAAGGGUGCGUAGGCGGGUUAUUAAGUCAGUGGUGAAAGCCUACAGCUUAACUGUAGAACUGCCAUUGAUACUGAUGAUCUUGAGUAUGAUUGAGGUAGGCGGAAUGUGUCAUGUAGCGGUGAAAUGCUUAGAUAUGACACAGAACACCGAUUGCGAAGGCAGCUUACUAAGUCAUAACUGACGCUGAUGCACGAAAGCGUGGGGAGCAAACAGG
rnacentral:rRNA from 1 species